rnacentral:piRNA from 1 species
UUUAGUACUCCAUUUGUUUUG